AACCCGGGGAAGAUGUGGGGUUUUGGACCUCCGCACUCCCGAGCCGUCGGAGCCGAACGCGGCUGGAACGCCGGACCGCAGAGGGUGAUAGUCCCCUAGGCGAACGACGGAAGGGAGAUUGGAGGGAUCCCGAGUACCGUGCGUUGGAAAUCGCGCGGGGAGUUGGGGGACAUAAGCCUCCGAUCCUAAAUACGUCCCGAGACCGAUAGUGCAAUAGUAGCGUGAGCGAAAGCUGAAAAGUACCUCGGAAGGGAGGUGAAAAGAGCCUGAAACUAGGUGACCACAAGCCGCAUGGGCCCCCAAGGAGCGAACCCGCCUACGGGCGGGGGACGCAGGGUCCAUGCGUCCGUUUUGAACAACGGGCCAGGGAGUUUCGAUUCAUGGCGAGGUUAAGCCGUUCGAACGGCCGAGCCGCAGGGAAACCGACAGUCCGCAGCCGGGCAACCGGUCAGGGACGAGGUGCGAUUGCCUGGAGUCAUGGGUGGAAGACCCGAAGCCAAUCGAUCUAAGCGUGGGUAGGUUGAAGCCUGCCGAAAGGUAGGUGGAGGACCGAACCGGUGUUGAUGUGCAAAUCAUUCGGAUGACCUGUGCUUAGGGGUGAAAGGCCAAUCUAGACUGGGAAUGGCUGGUUCCUCCAGAAACUACUCGCAGGUAGGUCUCGGUGGAGGCGGCCCGGUAUGUAGAGCACCGAUUACGGGAUACGGGGCCGAAAGGCCUCGGCCUGUUGUCGAACUCCGAAGUGCCGGGCACCGUAGAAGCCGGGAGUGAGCGCGGCAGGGGUAAGCCCGCCGUGCGAAAGGGAAUGCAACCCAGCCUCGCAUUAAGGGCCCAAAGUGCCGGCUAAGUGUAAUUUCAAAGGGCGUCCGUAUUCUAAGACAACUGGGAGGUGGGCUCAGAAGCAGCCAUCCUUCAAAGAGUGCGUAACAGCUCACCAGUCGAGAGUAUGGGCACCGAAAAUGGACGGGGCUAAGCCGGCCCCCGAUAUGCGAGCGGACCCCCUUCGGGGGGUCAUCGUGUAUGGAGGCGCGUGGCGCGGGUAGAAGUGGGGGCGUGAGCUCCCGUGGACCGCGUCGCGAU
rnacentral:rRNA from 1 species